rnacentral:rRNA from 1 species
CUUGCCUACGGGGGGCAGCAGUGGGGGAUAUUGCACAAUGGGGGGAACCCUGAUGCAGCGACGCCGCGUGGGCGAUGGAGCGCCUCGGCGCGUAAAGCCCUCUCAGCAGGGAAGAAGAUGACGGUACCUGACUAAGAAGCCCCGGCUAAAUACGUGCCAGCAGCCGCGGUAAUACGUAUGGGGCAAGCGUUAUCCGGAUUUACUGGGUGUAAAGGGAGCGUAGACGGCAGCGCAAGUCUGGAGUGAAAUCCCAUGGCUUAACCAUGGAACUGCUUUGGAAACUGUGCAGCUGGAGUGCAGGAGAG